rnacentral:rRNA from 1 species
AACGAACGCUGGCGGCAGGCUUAACACAUGCAAGUCGAACGCGUGUAGCAAUACACGAGUGGCGCACGGGUGAGUAACGCGUGGAUAUCUGCCUUUUGGUUCGGAAUAACUCCGGGAAACUGGAGCUAAUACCGGAUGGUUCCUACGGGAUAAAGAUUUAUCGCCAAAAGAUGAGUCCGCGUACGAUUAGCUAGUUGGUGAGGUAAUGGCUCACCAAGGCGACGAUCGUUAGCUGGUCUGAGAGGACGAUCAGCCACACUGGGACUGAGACACGGCCCAGACUCCUACGGGAGGCAGCAGUGGGGAAUAUUGGACAAUGGGGGCAACCCUGAUCCAGCCAUGCCGCGUGAGUGAUGAAGGCCUUCGGGUUGUAAAGCUCUUUUGGCGGGGACGAUGAUGACGGUACCCGCAGAAUAAGCCCCGGCUAACUUCGUGCCAGCAGCCGCCGUAA